rnacentral:tRNA from 1 species
GAAGGUGUAGCUCAGUGGUAGGGUACAUGCCUACCAUGCUCCAGGUCCUGGGUUCAAUCCCCAGUACCUUCA